rnacentral:rRNA from 1 species
CUCAUCACAUCCUGGGGCUGAAGUCGGUCCCAAGGGUAUGGCUGUUCGCCAUUUAAAGUGGUACGCGAGCUGGGUUUAGAACGUCGUGAGACAGUUCGGUCCCUAUCUGCCGUGGGCGUUGGAAGAUUGAAGGGGGCUGCUCCUAGUACGAGAGGACCGGAGUGGACGAACCUCUGGUGUUCGGGUUGUGUCGCCAGACGCAUUGCCCGGUAGCUAAGUUCGGAAUCGAUAACCGCUGAAAGCAUCUAAGCGGGAAGCGAGCCCUGAGAUGAGUCUUCCCUGAUACUUUAAGUAUCCUAAAGGGUUGU